CUCAUGCAUGCCAAAGGUACAUCUGAGACCUUUCUUCUAUAUUUUGCCAGAUCUGGCGAAGUUUGUCUUUGCAGUGAAGCAGCUGAGAAUGAAAGGAUCUCUUUCAUGGAAGCGGGCCUUUGCCAGCAUACCAUCCAGAAGAUAUCAACCCCGCAUCUUGGCUGCCGUCUCCAUAGUGAUCUUCUGAACUGUUGCUGGUUGUAGAUAUCUUCUUGUGCCAGUCCCUUCUGUCCAUCGCGUUGUGUGUUGCUUCAUGAUCUGCCCUGUCCAAUCGGAACCUAGCAUGUAUUUUCUCAUGGUUCUGUUCAUUACAACUUGUGUGAUUCUGUGUUAUGGACAAGCAAAACGAUGCCAGACACAACUUAUGAUUUUGUGCGUGUGUGGUUUCAAUCAGGUAAGCAGAAGACGGUAACCAGACAAUUUUUUCUUGGGAUAUAGGAGUUAAUGCCCGUUACAUUUCGGACAACCUUGAUCCAUGAGAAUUACCAAAUCAAAAUUUCUGAAUCAGGACGAGAUAUUCUUAGCAGAGCAUGACUGAUGGUUGUUAUCCCAGUAUGAAGUUGAUGCCACACUGUUAUUCAUGAUUGGAUUGGAUCUUGCUAGGAAGCAAAGUUCUCUGCAAUUAUUCAUUUAGUGUUUAUCAAUCUGUUGAGGUGCAGCAUACCAGGGUCUUCCCUUACAGUUGGAGACGGACAAUUUAAUUGUUAACGGAGUGCUACUUUUCGUGGUAGAACGUCGGACCGUUCUUUUUCCCUAUCCUUCUUAGUUAUGUUCCUUGAAACAAUGCUGCGUGAAUUGAAACCAACUCCAGAUUACUGUUCUCUUCCCGUAUUUCUCCUUUCAAGUCUUGUUUUCUGUCUGACAUCACUAUUCGGUAUAGUGUCCUAAUACUUGCUCAACGAUUCCUCUUUUUCUUCAUUUAGGAGAGAAGAAGACUACAUUGACAAUGAUGAGACAACUGGAAUGAUUGAUAGCUCUAUGUACCUCUGCUCUCUUCUUUGGUAUCAACUCCUGGACUUAGGAUAUUUCGUGAACUCAGCAGUACAUGAAGUGUGGAUGAAUUUAUGAUCAAUUUGUUACAAGGCAGACUACUGACUAGAAGUUCAACAAGAGAAGCAUAAAAAACUUAAUGGUUUUCUAGUGACAAGUACGAGGCAACAAGUACGAGGCAAUGUAGUUAUGAAAACCUCAUCCAAUUUUCUUUUGGUACAUUUCAGGCAACAUGGAUGGAACGGAAAUUACCAAAUGAAAAAGUUCUGAAUAUAUUUGAGCAGAGUGAUGCGGAUGUAGUUAUCCUAGUAUGAAGAUGAUGGACAGUUGUCCCCGGAUUAGAGUGUACUUAUACUGCUGGAUCAAACUAGAGAGACGCUAAUUAAUAUCUAUUCAUGGAGUGCUUAAUUGCUUAUAGUGUAUUGAGGGUUGUCCCUAUGUCUUCCCUGUUCACGUUUUUCAUGAAUAUCAGUGUUUUAUUGGCAGGAAUUUGCAGCUAUAUAGUAUUUCGACAGUAUUUACAUUUUUCUCUGUGCUAAAAUUUCAUUAUUAGUUGCAUUUGCAGAAGACAUUGUCUAGAUUGUUUUCACCUGAGAGCUCAACUCAACCCGUUCCUGUAUGGAUGCCACUUCUUUUUUCUCCUCACGCAGGAGAGCAGCAGUAUGUUGACAAUGAUGUUGUGGAGAUCCCAGAAGGCAAUCAUUGAGUGAACUGUAUCUUUUUUCUGUUAGUUGACCUAAGCCGCACCCUUACUGCUGCUGGGGUGCUGGUAGUUGUGCUAGGCAGACUUUGGGGACUGGAUGUACAAUCAAGGGAAGCAUUACUAACUUACUUGCUGGCCUAGUAACAAGAGACAACUUCAAUCUGCAUGGAAUCACACAGAAAAAUUUCUGAAUCAUGAAGAGGAAUUUGAUGUGAACGAGGCUGAUAGCUAACUUAAUAAGAAGAUAUGCCAUACUGGCAGUUAACCAGGGAUUGGAGCCUGCUACUGCUGUUGGAUCCAGCUAGGUGAAGCACUACAUAGCGACUUUCAUAUGGCGUGUGUCAGUCUAUUGAGGUGCCAUCGGGUCUUCCCCAUCUCUCUUCCUUCAGAUUGAGAUUACCCUAUUUUAUGGAUGCCAGUAGCUUUUUGGCAGGAACUUGAGCUACAAUUAUGUCUCAGCAUUUGGAGAUGACUGGUUAAACUGCUUAUGCAGUGCUACUUUUCAAUGUAGGACUUUGGUUUGUUCCUUUUGCUCUUAUAUUUAUUUCUACACUAGAGUUUCAAGAACGACAUACAGGAGUGUGAUGGGAUAGAUAUACACUUCAUGGAGUGGAACCAACAUAUUCUCUUCCCAUAUUUUUUUCCUUUCAGAACUUGCUCUCGGUCUUAUGCUGCAAUUUCGUAUUUUUCCUUAAUUUUAAUUUCUCAGAAUGUGUAUUUCUUGCAGAAGGCCUCGUCUGGACUGUUUUACGCCUGUUAUGGUUACUCAAACAAGGCAACGGUGCCUCCUUUUAACUCAGUCAAGUCGUUUUCUGGUUUGCUUUCAAUCAGGUGAGCAGAGAACUAUUGACAAUGGAGAGAGACUCGGAGAAACGAGAGAGGGCCAUCUUAAGAUUUGAUUCAGUAACGUUGUGGAGCUCCCAGGUUGUAUCUUCAAGACUCAAGCUCUCAACUAUUCAAAUCUUUGAUCUAUUUUCCGUUUAGGAUAUUUUGCAGUCUCGGAUAUAUGUAGAUUUACAGGAAUCUCUAAUCAAUCACAGUAAAUUGUGUCGAGGCAGACUUUACAGACUGAAAGCCUGACAAGAGAAAAGCAAGCACAACAGACUCACUAGUCUUCCAGUGACAGUUUGAAGGCUAUUUGAUAACGAGAACUGCUUGCCUUUUAGACACCCUUGAUCGUAAAUCAAAAUUUCUGGAUCUUGACGAGGUAUUUGAGCAGAAUGAAGCUCUGAUGGUACUUAUCCCAGUAUGAAGCUGAUGUCCUCGAUCCAGCUAGGGAAAGAUACUAUUAGCAACUAUUCAUGGCAUUCUAGUUUGUUUUACAUCUGUUAUGGUUAUAUAUAUCUAAUAAAUCAAAGGCAAUGGCUACCUCCUAAAACUCAUUCAAGUCGUCCAACUAUCGGAUUAGGAAUGUGAAGGCUUAUUCAGAAUGAGACCGGAGAAAGAAAGAGCUAUAAUCGGACAUCUUUUGUCUCAUUUUGAAGUGUGCUUAACUCAUUAUUGAAAUAUUGUGAAACCUUUUUUUUAGCAUUUUCUACAAGUUGUGAUCUCAACCUUUCUAUUACAUGUUCUAUAUUUUGGGUCUUAAUAGCUCAUACCAAGUUGAUGAAUUGUUAA